UCCAUACCAGUCUGUGUACAUGUUCCGCAGUUAGCGGUACUCCUGCCCGUCCACCGUUAUGCAACAGUGCUGAGCAUCAUGGAUGGAAUUUGGGGCUUUUACUCUCUUCAAUAAACCAACUCGUUAUGUCAGUAAAGCUGGCUACACAUCCGUCACUAGGACAGCUACUCCGUGAUGCCUCGUAAAGAUAUCUUCACCGGUUUCAACGCGUAUUUCACGCCAAGUGGCAUAAAGAGCACUAGCAGCCUCCUGAAUAAUUUACCGGAAUAGUCACAAAGCGACAACUGGAUAUGAAACUACUAU